GUUUGAGAAAUUAUUUACAGAAAUAAUUUGCAAAGAAAGAUGAUGUUAUCAUCCUCCAGAAAGGAUCUUCUACUGUUUUCCAAGGCAUCUAGGUCACAAAAAUUUCUAAAUCAUCUUGAUCCAAACUCAAGGACUGAAAUUUUCUUGACCACCCAAAAGCUAUGAAGCAGACUGAUUCUCUAGAUGAUUUUCCCCUUCAGAAUUUUCCACAUUAUCAUCUGCCACUUAGAAAUCAUAAUAAUCUUGGGGGGCAUUCCAAGAUGGCUGAAUAGGAACAGCUCUGGUCUGCAGCUCCUAGCGUGAAGGACGCAGAAGAUGAGUGAUUUCUGCAACCAACUAAGGAUCUCCUCUGUUUGGUGGCUGAAGACUGACGCUGCCCGAAUGUCUUGGAGGCCCCCUGGACCAUCACAGAUGCCGAGCUUCAGGUAAAUCUUAUGAUGGAAGACAGGAAUGCAAGGUCCUCUGAGCAGGCUGCGCCAUGGUCAAGCCAUCGUGACCCCUGUGACCCACAUGUACACAUCCAGAAGGUCUCCUGGAGCCAGAAAGUCUGGCACAACACAAAAAACACAAAAGAAGAAAAAAGGCUAGUUCCUGUCUUAGCUGAUUAGCCAAACUUGCGACAUUCUACCAUUGUAACAGGCUCUACCCUAACUGAUCAAUCAACCUUGUGACACUGCUCUGUAACUGUGUGAUAAUGUACCUUAUGACAUUCUUCCACUGCCCACAAAAACCGGCCCCUAACUGUGACUUUCCACUGCCUAACCCUAACCUAUAAAACCACUCCAAUCCCAUCACCUGCUGCUGACUCCCUUUUCUGAGUCAGUCUGCUCUUGCCUGAGUGAAUAAACAGC
rnacentral:lncRNA from 10 species